rnacentral:rRNA from 1 species
UACGUAGGGCGCAAGCGUUAUCCGGAAUUAUUGGGCGUAAAGAGCUCGUAGGCGGUUUGUCGCGUCUGCCGUGAAAGUCCGGGGCUCAACUCCGAUCUGCGGUGGGUACGGGCAGACUAGAGUGAUGUAGGGGGAGACUGGAAUUCCUGGUGUAGCGGUGAAAUGCGCAGAUAUCAGGAGGAACACCGAUGGCGAAGGCAGGUCUCUGGGCAUUAACUGACGCUGAGGAGCGAAAGCAUGGGGAGCGAACAGG